AGAGUUUGAUCCUGGCUCAGAACGUACGCUGGCGGCACGCCUAACACAUGCAAGUCGAACGAAGUAGCAAUACUUAGUGGCAGACGGGUGAGUAACAUGUAGGUAUCUGCCCUUUGGCCUGGAAUAACACGAGGAAACUUGUGCUAAUACCGGAUAAGUCUUUACGGAGAAAGCUUUAUGCACCAUUGGAUGAGCCUGCACUUGAUUAGUUUGUUGGUGGGGUAAUGGCCUACCAAGACUGUGAUCAAUAGCUGAUUUGAGAGGAUGAUCAGCCACAUUGGGACUGAGACACGGCCCAAACUCCUACGGGAGGCAGCAGUGGGGAAUCUUGCACAAUGGAGGAAACUCUGAUGCAGCGAUGCCGCGUGAGUGAAGAAGGCCUUUGGGUUGUAAAGCUCUUUCGUCGGGGAAGAAAAUGACUGUACCCGAAUAAGAAGGUCCGGCUAACUUCGUGCCAGCAGCCGCGGUAAUACGAAGGGACCUAGCGUAGUUCGGAAUUACUGGGCUUAAAGAGUUCGUAGGUGGUUGAAAAAGUUGGUGGUGAAAUCCCAGAGCUUAACUCUGGAACUGCCAUCAAAACUUUUCAGCUAGAGUUUGAUAGAGGAAAGCAGAAUUUCUAGUGUAGAGGUGAAAUUCGUAGAUAUUAGAAAGAAUACCAAUUGCGAAGGCAGCUUUCUGGAUCAUUACUGACACUGAGGAACGAAAGCAUGGGUAGCGAAGAGGAUUAGAUACCCUCGUAGUCCAUGCCGUAAACGAUGUGUGUUAGACGUUGGAAAUUUAUUUUCAGUGUCGCAGCGAAAGCGAUAAACACACCGCCUGGGGAGUACGACCGCAAGGUUAAAACUCAAAUGAAUUGACGGGGACCCGCACAAGUAGUGGAGCAUGUGGUUUAAUUCGAAGAUACGCGCAGAACCUUACCAACACUUGACAUGUUCGUCGCGACUCUAAGAGAUUAGAGUUUUCGGUUCGGCCGGACGAAACACAGGUGCUGCAUGGCUGUCGUCAGCUCGUGUCGUGAGAUGUUGGGUUAAGUCCCGCAACGAGCGCAACCCUCACUUUUAGUUGCCAUCAUUAAGUUGGGCACUCUGAAAGAACUGCCAGUGAUAAGCUGGAGGAAGGUGGGGAUGACGUCAAGUCCUCAUGGCCCUUACGUGUUGGGCUACACACGUGCUACAAUGGUAUCUACAACAGGAAGCAAGACUGCGAAGUUAAGCAAAUCCCUAAAAGAUACCUCAGUUCGGAUUGCACUCUGCAACUCGAGUGCAUGAAGCUGGAAUUACUAGUAAUCGUGGAUCAGCGUGCCACGGUGAAUGCGUUCCCGGGUCUUGUACACACCGCCCGUCACACCAUGGGAGUUGGUUCUACCUUAAGGCAAGGCUUUAAACCCUUGACCACGGUAUAGUCAGCGACUGGGGUGAAGUCGUAACAAGGUAACC
rnacentral:rRNA from 2 species